CCGGUGGAGAUAAGUGAAAAGGAGUAGCGUGAGGCGGUAGACAGCCUUGAAGAGGAUGAGAGGGCCUGCUGCUGGGGUUUACUCCUAGGUAUUUUUGGAUCAGUGCCGGCAGCCCAGUGCCGCUGCAUACUCCAGUACAGCCCAAACGUGGAUGCAGGUGGAUGUGGGCACCGUGGCCGCCACCAAGGAUGUGGGGGUCGCGCCACAACCGGCAUGGACGCGGUGGGAACGCCGAAACUGUCAAGGACACGGGAGCCACACUUCAGCCUUAGUGUUUUCCCUAAUUUCUUUAGGUCUAAAUACUGGAUGAGAUUCUCAUUUCUGGCAUUCUUCAUGAACCUAUCAAGGAGAACAUUUCAAUACUAAUUGCCGCAAAGGUGUUCUCA